AGGAAUCUUCCACAAUGGACGAAAGUCUGAUGGAGCAACGCCGCGUGAGUGAAGAAGGGUUUCGGCUCGUAAAGCUACUGUUGGUAGUGAAGAAAGAUAGAGGUAGUAACUGGCCUUUAUUUGACGGUAAUUACUUAGAAAGUCACGGCUAACUACGUGCC
rnacentral:rRNA from 1 species